UAUACUUAAAAAACCAUUUAUUAUUCAUGCGUAUUAUUUUGGAAAACAAAGAUUUUUGAAAAAAAUGUCUUACUGGCAGUUGAGAAAUAAGGACUGUCCCUACGUGAGGUAACAACUGAAGCAGUCUUUCAAUAAAUUUGACAUUAAUUGAUCAUCAACUGCCUGGAAUUGAAGACACAACGUUUUUCCAGGCAGUUCUUCAAGAAAAUCAACAGUCAUUUUGUAUUGCCAAUCAUAUACUUAAAAAACCAUUUAUUAUUCAUGCGUAUUAUUUUGGAAAACAAAGAUUUUUGAAAACAAUUUCUUACUGAAAAUAAUUGACUGAGAAAUAAAUGCUUUUUAAGAAAAUUAUAGAUGAAAGCAGUUGAGAGAUUAAGACCGUCCCUACAUUAGAUAACAACUGAAGAAGUUUUUCAAUAAAUUUGACAUUAUUUGAUCAUCAACUGCCUGGAAUUAAAGACACAAUUUUUUUCCAGGCAGUUCUUUAAGGCAAUUGAGAAAUAAUAACUGUCCUUACAUGAGGUAACAACUGAAGCAGUCUUUCAAUAAAUUUGACAUCAUUUGAUCAUCAAGUCCCUGGAAUUGAAGACAUAACGUUUUUUCAGGCAGUUCUUUAAAGUAAUCAACAGUCAUUUUGUAUUGACAAUCACAUAUUUAAAAAAGCUCUAGAUAUCAGGCAAUUGAGAAAUUAAAAAUUGUCUUUACAUGAGGUAACAACUGAAGCAGUCUUUCAAUAAAUUUGACACCAUUUGAUCAUCAACUGCCUAGCAUUGAAAAGACAGCGUUUUUCCAGGUUCUUUUAAUGUAAUCAAUCG